UGCACGGUGGCACAGUUGGUAGCACUGUUGCCUUGCAGCAAGAAGGUAAGAAGGUCCUGGGUUCGAUUCCCGGCUGGGGGUCUUUCUGCAU